CAAGCAUUCGACCAUAAAAUAGAUUAUUAGGCAUUCAACAUAUUGUUUCACGCGAUGUCGUUCUGGUGACUUCGUCAUAAUUCCAGAAAUGCCCUCACUAGGACACGAACACCUGGCGGUGCACCUGCACUGCACAAGAGACGCCGUUCUCAAGAAAAGAAAACGGAUAGCAGACUAUUUCGUGCUCUCGCUUCUCCAUAACGAAAAGUUUAACAUCACAACUUUCAUCUCCAGAGCAUCGUCGAUAUCGAAACUCGAAGAAGAAAUGGUGUCGGACUCAGACCUCGUGACCCGGCUUCGCGAAGUUCUCCAGGACUCUGACCUCGACACGGCCACCGCCGGCAGUAUCCGCCGAAAGUUGGAGGAAGAGUUCGGCGUCAAUUUAUCGGACCGGAAAGCUUUUAUUAGGGAACAAAUUGACAUUUACCUUGAAACUCUAGAGAACAACGAUAAGGAAGAAGAGGAAGAAGAAAAUGCGGAAGAAAAUAACAACGACGUCGUAGAAGGAGAAGGGGAAGAGGAGGACGGCGAAGAAGAAGAAGAAGAAGAAGAAGAAGAGGAAGCUGAAAGAAAAGAGUCCAAUGAACGACAAAAAAAAGUGAAAAAAAGAGGUGGCUUUACGAAGUUAUGCAGCCUUUCUCCACAACUACAAAAGAUUGUUGGAGUGACUGAAUUAGCUAGAACUGAGGUUGUGAAGAAACUUUGGGCCUAUAUCCGGGAGAACAAUUUGCAGGAUCCAAAGAAUAAGCGGAAUAUAAAAUGUGACCAAGCAUUUCGUGAUCUUUUCCGUGUAAAUUCAAUUAAUAUGUUUCAAAUGAAUAAAGCCCUGUCCAAGCAUAUUUGGCCAUUAACUGCAGAAGCUGAGAAUGAAAAACUGAAAGUAAAAGAUGAAGAUGGUAGUAAUUCUGUGUCAGAAGAAGAGGAAGAAGAAGAGGACCAAAGUGAAGAAGAGGAAGAAGAAGAAGAGGAAGAUAUGGAGAAAAAAAAAAAGAAAGGAAGGUCGAUUAAGGGGGAUAAAGAUGGUAAGAAAAGAGGCGGCGGCUUCACUAAAUUGUGUAGCCUUUCUCCACAAUUACAAGAGUUCAUUGGAGAGUCUGAAUUGGCCAGAACAGAGGUUGUGAAGAGGCUUUGGGCCUAUAUUCGGGAGAGAAAUUUACAAGAUCCAAAGAAUAAGCAGAACAUAAUAUGCGAUGAAUCGUUGCAUGCUCUUUUCCAUGUUAAUUCUAUCAAUAUGUUUCAAAUGAAUAAAGCAUUGUCCAAGCACAUAUGGCCACUAAAUGAGGAAGUUCCAAACAACACCUCAGAAAAGGAAAAAAGAAGUAAGCAACCGAGAGAAGGUUCAGAUGAGCCGAAGCAGAAAGAAAAACGGCAGAAGAAAGGAGCUUCUGGUCUUCUUGCCCCACUUCCACUCUCAGAUGCUCUUGUAAAAUUUUUUGGCACUGGUGAAAAUGAAUUAUCUCGAGCUGAUGUUGUAAAGAGAAUGUGGGGAUACAUAAAACAGAAUGAUCUGCAGAUCAAGCUUGGUUAGUUUCUAUCAGUAGAGAGAUUGACCCUGUUUGAAAUUCCAAAUAUGUACCCUUACAAUGAAGUCAAGCCACCAGGCUAAUAACCCAGUAAUUGGCUACCUUUCUAAAACCUCCUUCCCCUUGAAUCCCAAAAGACUUAGAAAAAUAGUAGACAGAAAGUGAGAUGACAGAAGUGAAGUUGGGUAUGAAGAGAAAUGGGAAGUACAAGUGCCUAAAGAAGGAUAUGUUAAAAAGAGGAAAAAAUUGAAAUCUGAGUAAAACCUGUUGAGUACAUGUGAAGUGCUCACAUCUAUUACUGAAAUCAGAAAUCAACCUGGGACCAGGAUCCAUCUGAUAAGAGGAGAAUCAUUUGUGAUGAUAAACUAAAAGAACUAUUUGAGGUUGACUCAUUCAAUGGCUUCUCAGUCUCGAAGCUUCUGACUUCUCAUUUCAUCAAGAUGGAACAGUGAGCGAGUUGUAGGUACAUAUUGUAAGCCCAUUGGAGGCAGCAAUUUUGCUAGAGUUGUUCAUACUUUCAAUAUGUGCCGGCAUCCUGUAUGCUUCUUGUCCAAGAAAUGGAAAUAGUUUUCAGAAAAUAUUUCUUUGUGCCAUCA